UUUCGCAUUACAUAUCUGGCAGCCUUUCC
rnacentral:sRNA from 1 species